rnacentral:rRNA from 1 species
UGGGGAAUCUUGCGCAAUGGGCGAAAGCCUGACGCAGCGACGCCGCGUGGGUGAUGAAGGCCUUCGGGUUGUAAAGCUCUGUGGGGAGAGACGAAUAAGUCGUAGCGAAUACCUACGAUGAUGACGGUAUCUCCUUAGCAAGCACCGGCUAACUCUGUGCCAGCAGCCGCGGUAAGACAGAGGGUGCGAACGUUGUUCGGAAUUACUGGGCGUAAAGCGCAUGUAGGCGGCCUCUCAGGUCGGAUGUGAAAUCCCUCGGCUCAACCGAGGACGUGCAUUCGAAACCGGGAGGCUUGAGUUCCGGAGAGGGUGAUGGAAUUCUAGGCGUAGAGGUGAAAUUCGUAGAUUUCUGGAGGAACACCGGCGGCGAAAGCGGUCACCUGGACGAGAACUGACGCUGAGAUGCGAAAGCGUGGGGAGCAAACAG